GAGAGAUCGCUUUCCACUGAAAUGUACCGAGGAAAGGCUAUGUGAGGACAUAGCCCAGAAGAGGCCCUCACCAGAGCCCAGCUAUGCUGGCACCCUGACCUCCUGCUCCAGCCUCCAGACUGUGAGGAAAUACGUUUCCAUGGUUGAAGCCACCCAGUCUAUGACUCAGAUACAAGCCCAUCAAGGCAGUGAGGUUGACAUCUUUUUUUCUGACUUGUCUGCAAACCCGUCAUGAGGAUUGUUGCACAGUCAUGUUUGGGUAAUGCCACGUACAGUCUUUCCUUCUUAGGCAAUUAUAUUAGCAGUUAAAGGCUCUGAGAAGUUUUGCAAUGAAGAUGCUGUCAUAAGUUUGUCUAAUUCAGCAUUUGACAACAGAACUGAUUUUCCUAGCAACAUUUUGGUCCAGAGAGAAGGUGAUGCAAGAUGCAGAAAUGACUGAGAGUAUGGUGAGCACUUGUUCACUACGCCAGAAAUAAAAGAUCAUUGAAGUGAGAUUGAUUAAAACUACAAUCAAUAAAAGAUCAUUGAAGUGAAA
ensembl:lncRNA novel transcript